CUGUGCCUACGGGAGGCAGCAGUAGGGAAUCUUCCACAAUGGACGAAAGUCUGAUGGAGCAACGCCGCGUGAGUGAAGAAGGGUUUCGGCUCGUAAAGCUCUGUUGGUAGUGAAGAAAGAUAGAGGGAGUAACUGGCCUUUAUUUGAUGGUAAUUACUUAGAAAGUCACGGCUAACUACGUGCCAGCAGCCGCGGUAAUACGUAGGGGGCAAGCGUUGUCCGGAUUUAUUGGGGGUAAAGCGAGGGCAGGCGGUUCAAAAA
rnacentral:rRNA from 1 species